rnacentral:lncRNA from 1 species
UUUUGAGAUUUUGAAACCUGGCUCCGCUUCUCCCUUGUUUCUAACUCAGUGAGCUCUCUGCAUCUGAACGGCCCGACCUCAGGGGGUUCGUGAUGCCAAAGCUGUGGCUCGGGCCCAUCUCCCACAGUGAAAAGUACAGUCCUUCGGGGAGGUAAAGCCUUUUCCGGGGGGGUUUCAGGUCCUGUUUAUAACAUCCCGGGGGUGCUCCUGGUUGCUAAAGUGGCAGGUUUUUAUUCCUCGAGGAAGUGUCGUGGACCUGCAUCCUCUGCGCAGAGGAAACUUUGGGGCCUGGGCUUACAGGAGCCAUAUGAAGUGUUUCCCUUGAAUGAGGCACCGGGUUUAUCAUCCCUCCAACUCAGCCAUCUCCUCGGACCUUCGCCACCCACCAGCCCUGUCCGCAGGCUCCCACGGUCCAGCAGCACUCAACCAACAAAAACCACCCCUCUGAAGCAAGGGAGGUGCUCCUUCCAUCUGUCCGUCCAAAUGACCAAGCCAGGGGGAUGCGCAAUGCAUACCAACAGCACCGUUUGGGUUGUGGUCUACACCCCUGCCCUUUGCGGAGGCUCUGACUUGGAAGCUCGUUCUGGAUUUGAGCACAUGGGAUGGACAGCUGGAGAUACUCUGACUUCAUUUUGGCUUUCAUGCUUUUCGGGAUGCCGGCUCGUGGUGCAGAAUCGUGCAGUGUCUGAACGUGAGAGGGCUUCCAGCUGUCACUCCCUCCCUGCUCCGCGAUGCAGGUCAGAAAGCAGUUUAUCUGCAUCAGUGGUUGUCAGCCAGGGGCCACAGCACCCUGGGGUGCUGUGAGAUCCCUUUAAGGGUGCCACACACCCUUGAGCAAAAACCUCCAUGUGAUUCACAAGACAAACCCAGACAUUUCAAAAAAAGCUGGACACAUUCACAUCUGUGGUGGCCUUUCUGACCUGUGUGCAACAGGACAGUUGCUCUAUUUUUUUCCCACCGUCUAGAAACAAGUAAAAGCGAAGAGCUGGCAUUUUCUGACAGGGGCCAGGGGUCAAAAGGGGUUGAGAGCCACUGAUCUGAGUCAAGCAGGAAGAUUUUGUUCUUAGGUUUUUAAAUUGGGGCUAAGUUAUGGGGAGAGGCACGGAUGUCAGAAGUUACACCCUUUGGUCAUACUAAAUGACUCCGAGACAAGGUUUAGUUUCCCUGCGCAGGUCAAACAUGCCUGCGCUUUUGGAAUUUUUAUGGAUUAUUAUUUUGUUAUGGGAUAUAUGGAAUAUAAGAACUGGGGAAAAAAUUUAUUUGAUGAUUUUUGCCUAUUUUCCUGUUUGAGAGCUGCCCGGGAGCAAGAGCCAGUUGUCAUCAGUUCAUUUAGUGUGUCAAAGUGUUCAUCAGACCAUGUCUAUGAAUAUUUCUUGAUCUGUAGCUUGCUUCUGAGCACUGCAUAGCAGAUUUUCUUGUUUUUCAAACUGUUUCAUUAGUUCUGAUUGGAGCCAUAGAUCAUGUGAUAUAUCGCGAUUGUCUGAUUGGAGCCAUGUCAUAGAUUUCAUAGAUCUCAUAGACAUCGGGGCUGGAAGGGACCUCGGGAGAUCAUUGAGUCCAGCCCCCCGCCCAAAGGGCAGGAAGUCAGCUGGGGUCAUAGGAUCCCAG